rnacentral:rRNA from 1 species
UACGUAGGUGGCAAGCGUUGUCCGGAUUUAUUGGGCGUAAAGGGAGCGCAGGCGGUGACUUAAGUCUGAUGUGAAAGCCCACGGCUCAACCGUGGAAGGUCAUUGGAAACUGGGUCACUUGAAUAUAGAAGAGGAAAGUGGAAUUCCAUGUGUAGCGGUGAAAUGCGUAGAGAUAUGGAGGAACACCAGUGGCGAAGGCGGCUUCCUGGUCUGUAACUGACACUGAGGCGCGAAAGCGUGGGGAGCAAACAGGAUUAGAUACCCGU